AUGCCAUCCCUUAAAGAAACUAUGAUUGAAAUCUCAUCCGUAAGAGAUGUUGAAAUUUUUUCCUUAAAAGAAACUCUGAUGAAAUUGAUAGCCACUAUGAAUAAUGCAAACAAUAACCCACCCACAGUAUUUGGUGCUGCAGCUAGUUCUAACAUGAACCAACCAUCCUCAUCAUUAAGCCAUUGGGUGACCUCUUAGAAACACUCGACGAAUAAGGGGAAGACCACAAGUUGCACUAGUGUUGGGGAUGUGACUAGAGUUCUUCUUACAAGUAUCAUGAAACUUGGUAUUGCUAUUGCUAAAGGAAUUGUUUUGAGCAAGGAUCCACUCACAAAAGUAGGGGGGCACGAACUUGGAAUUGGUUUUUGGGAAAUAUUAAUUCAUGUGGCAGUAGUACGAGAGGAGGUUUUGAAAAGACCUAUGGACGAUAUAAAACAAUUGGGGAUGUUAUUAGAACGAGUAUUGUUUGGCCCUCUAUUAUGUGUAAGGUUUAAGGAGAGAUGGAUUGAGUUAAAUGAAAAGAUCUCUCUCUCUCUCUCUCUCUCUUGUAAAUGUUUUUUAUUUUGUGCAUGGGUUUAGGAUUGAUGUGUGAUUGGUUUUGGAUAGAAAGUGUUUAACUCUAAUUUUACAAUUUGGAUUGACUUGAGAUCGUAUGCAUAUG